CCGGGCGUAGCUCAGCCCUGGUAGAGCGGCCGGCUGUAGACCGGCAGGUCGUGGGUUCAAGUCCCACCGCCCGGA
rnacentral:tRNA from 2 species